rnacentral:lncRNA from 1 species
UCAAACAUCACAUCCUGUUGAGCUCUUCUAUACGGUUACAGGAACGCAGAAGCCCUAAAAAAGAAUUUGGGUUCAAGAUCAAUUUCUAAUAGCUGCAACCUGAAAGUUGUAAAAUUAGGGUUCGUCUUUGAAUUUCCAAUAUUUCCAUCCUCUUGUUCUGAAAGAGUUACGGUUUUCUAUCACUCAAAUUCUAAUUUGUUUAAUCAGAUACAUAUAAUUCCGGCAUUAAUCAAGACAAUUGAGGUUUUCAUCAUAAGUCGCAGAUCAAUGGAGCGAAAACGAGCUUUUGCUUCGUUAGAUGGUAGAAAGAGACAGCGAAUGUUGGAAUUAGAGAAGAUUACAAUCGACUUUCAGAGAGAAUUGGAGCAGCAGAAGAAGCAGAAACUUGAGAAGCUGCAAGCUCAGAUUUCAAAGAUAACGCUUACAGAUAAUCAAGACAUUGAUUUUAUGCAGAAUGUAAGCAGAUAAUCUGGCAUUCAUCUUCAGUUCUUUUUCUUUUUUGCUUCAUUGAGUUUCUGCUUUUGAUAAUUUCGUUUUUGAGACAUAAUCAAAUCAUAAUCGUAUACUAAUUUCAUAAAUUGUGAAUACAAUUGAAUCAUAGAUUUAAACUGGAUCUGGGAAAAGCUCAUCUUUAAGCGAAGGAGCGAUCCAUUGAAUCUGAAUAUAAGUGAUUUCCCACAAAUCAUUCCCUUCUUGAG